ACUUGGCUUGCCGGGUCUUCUCAAGUACAGCAUAUUUCCAAAGGUCUUGGUCACUUGUCAUUGCCUCGGUGAGGCCUAACAUUUCAAGGUCGUGCAUUACCACCUCAUCCUGGGUCAACCUCUUCCUCAGUUCCCUCUACUGCUAGGGUGUGAUACUUUUCCACACAGCUGUCCUCAUCCAUGUACAACACAUGACCAUAUCAGCGCAGUUGUCUCUCUUGCACACCACAUCUGAUGCUUCUUAUGUCCCGCUUUUCUCUCAGGGCACUUACACUCUGUCGUGUAUGCACACUGACAUUACACAUCCAGCGGAGCAUACUAGCUUCAUUCCUUGCAAGCUUAUGCAUGUCCUCAGCAGUCACGGCCCAUGUUUCACUGCCCUGUAGCAUGUCUGUUCACACAUAUGCAUCAUACAGUCUACCUUUUACUCUGAGCAAGAGACCCUUUGUCACUAGCAGAGGUAGACACUCUCUGAACUUUGCCAAGGCUAUUCUUAUUUUAGCAGCUACACUCUCAGAGCAUCCACCCCCGCUACUGACUUGGUCACUUAGGUAACGAAAGCUAUCAACUACCUCUAGUUUUCCCCCCUGGAAUGUGACAGAAGCUGUUUUCUGCACAUUUUCAGUGUUUAUUGCCCCUGAGCAUUUGCCACAUAAAAAAACUAUCUUCCCAGUUAGCCUUCCUUUGAUAUUGUUGCAGCUUUUAUGUGUCCAUAGCUUACACCAGGUACAUCUUAGCAUUUUGUAAUAAUGAUGAUGAUAAUAAUAAUAAUUAUAAUAAUAAUAACAACAACAACAACAACACUCUAGCCAUCCCAGUUAUAAGUUACAGCUACAAUAUUCUUAACUGGACUCUAAAUGAACUAAUAAAAAUAAACAGGAAAACAAGAAAAAUAAUGACAAGAUUUAGGAUGCACCACCUAAAAUCUGACACAGAAAGACUAUAUAUACAACGUAUUGAAGGUGGUAAAGGACUUAUACAGCUAGAAACCAUUACAAAAUAACUACCAUAGGACUACAGAAAUACCUACUUCAGAAAGCAAGGAAAACUAAUACUGACAGCCACAAAACAUGAACAAAACAAAAAACUGUUUUCAGUCUUUAAGGAAGCUGACAAAUACAGAAAAGAAGUCAUAGUACCUAACAACUACGAAGGAAAAGAAGAAACAGCAAAGCUGUAAAUCAACUGAAAUUCAAACAAUCAGGCUGAGUAAAAAGUAAGCAACAUUUCGAAACAUGAAAUUCAUUACAAUAUAUUUCAACAAUGCAGGAAUUUUAUUCAUCAAAGUAAGUACCAUUACAAUCAACACAUUUUUGCCAAUGAGUUACAAGUUUGUUUAUUCCAGUAACAUGAAAAUCUGGAGUUCUGGAGCUGACAAACUCUUUGAACGCACUUUCAGCAUUGGUUUGAUUUUUGAACUCCUUCUUUUGCAGGAAACCAUCAAGGUGCUUGAAAAAGUGGUAGUCAGUAAGAGAAAGGUCUGGGGAAUAAGCUGGGUGGGGAAGAACGUUGUAGCCAAGUUCCCUCAACUUCUGGAGUGUUGUUAGUGAAAUGAGGGGUCAAGCAUUGUCAUGAAGAAUGAUUGGCCUUCUUCUGUUGACCAGUCUGGGAUGGAGGAGUAGCAGUCUUUCAUUCAUUUUGGCGAUUUCAUGGCAAAAUGUUUCUGCAGUAAUAGUUUUUCCAGGUUUUAAAAAGUUAUAGUGGAUAAGUCCAGUAGUACACCACCAAACAGUCACCAUAACCCUUUUGAAAAGCUUGGGUUUAGGGAAAGUUUUCGGUGCUUCAUUUGGUCCAACCACUGUGAAGAACAUUUUUUAUUAUUGGACAGAACCCACUUUUCAUUGCAAGUUACAGUACAGUCGAGAAAUGAAUUGGUCUGGUUAUGGAGAAGAAGUGGUGAGCAAAUUUCAUAUCUGCGCAUCUUCUGAUUUUCAUUCAAAUCAUGUAGUACCCUUUUGUCAAGCAUUUUUGAUUUUCCGAUCACAUGCAAAUGGUUGCAGACAGUUUUCUGGUUAACUUGAAGUUCUUUUGCCGGUUCUGGAAAGGUUUUACAUGGAUCUUUCUCAAUGACGGUCUUUAAUUUAUCGUCAUCGGUGACAGAAAACAGAAAUGAUGUUCCAGCAAGUGUGAGAGACUACGGGAAUAUUCGAGAUGAACUGACUGUUGUUGAUGAGGCAUCUUCAAAGCUGACAAAGUUGUAGUUCCUGCAACACUACAAACAGAAAUGUUGAACAGAAUUUUUGAUUUCAGAGUGACAAAGUGCAUACUCAGAGCCAAAGAUGUUAUAUUCUGACUAGUAAUGACUGUACAAAUUGAAGAAUUUGUAACACGAUGUUCUGUGUGCAACAAGAACAGAAAGAGUAAUCCGAAACAACUGUUGAAGAGCCAUGAAGACUACUUUCUCUGUUAACCUUCCUGUGGGCAUACCAUAUGGAGUUUCUACUAACACCUUUUCUUCAUAUUGAGCAGGGCCACCUCCCCGAAGGGAUCUGUGAUUUGUUUGUUUUCCUACUUAGUAGGACAUUUGUCUUUGCUAAAUUAAUUCGAAGGCCCUUUGGUUCCAGACCUUGUUUCUGAAAAUUUCUUCUCUAGUUUUAGUAGUGAUCCAUUAAUAAGAACAAGUCAUCAGUGUAGAGGUGUUCCCAAGGGAAGCCUGUCUCAAAUUCCUCUGUUAUAUAUUGGAAGACUAUGAUAAACAAGAGAGAGCUGAGAACUAAUCCUUGGUGAACUCCUACUUAUACAUUAAAUUCCUUGCUUCACAUAUUGCUGACUUUCACUUAACUAAUAGCAUCCCUGCUUCUUGGAAUCUUCCUAGCCUGAAGGAGUACAUUCUUCACCAGAGAAGGUCUUUGCAUUUAUGAGCAUGUAUCUUGCUUCCCAGUGAGAAUGUAGUCAAUCUCGUUGGAGUGGUCUCUGGGUUUGUAGGUUAUCUUGUGACUGGCUAAUUUCCUGAAGUUUGUGAAGCAGAUCAUUAGGUUAUUCACAUCAUAGAACUUCAGCAGCCUUGUUCCCUCCUCAUUUUGGGAACCAAUUCCAUAGCCCCCAUAUACAUUGUGGAAGACCCAGGUGUUGCCCAACAUGUCCAAUGAAAUCACCAGCCACAAAGAUAAGGUCAUUUGCCUUUGAGGUAGCCUACAAAAGAAUAUCAUAAAAAGAAUCCUUUUGAUCAUUUGGCAGACCCAGUUGGGGACAGAGAUAAUUGUUGUUGUGCUACUCUGCAAAACUAGUCUAAGCUUAAGGACCCUAUUGCACACUCUGACUACCUCAGUUUUGCAGAGUAGCCCAGAAACAAUUAUCAUCAUCAUCAUUAUUUGAGCUGACAGAAUUGUUAGCACACUGGGCAAAAUGCUUAGUGGCAUUUCGUCCGUCCUUACAUUCUGUGUUCAAAUUCCACUGAGGUCAACUUUGCCUUUCGUCCUUUUGGGGGUUGAUGAAAUAAGUACCAGUUAUGCACUGAGGUUGAUGUAAUCAACUAGCCCCUUCCCCCAAAAUUUCAAGCCUUGUGCCUUUAGUAGAAAGGAUUAUCAUUAUUAUUAUUAUUAUUUCUAAGGUACAUAGUCACACAUUUUUUGGGAAGAAUGGAGUUGAAUUUAUUGCUUAUGCAUUCUCAAUACUUGACUAGUAUUGAUUUCAUUAAAUCCAGAGAUAUAAAAGUCAAAGUCAGCCUUAGCAUGUAUGGACACAAAUCCAGUAUUCAAAUCUUUCUGCUACAGUAAUACCAUAACAACAGUAGCUCCACCACCACCGCUGUCACCGCCACCACCACUACCACCACCACUUACAACAACAAUAUUUUCUUACAUAGAUACAAGGCCAGAAAUUUUCCUGGGAGGAGUUAGUUAAUUAAACUGAACCAAGUACUUGACCAAUGUUUUAUUUCAUUCAAUCUGAAGGGGAAAAAAUGCGAAGUUAAACUCAGUAGAAAUGACCCCAGAACAAAUUCCAGAAGACAUUUUUUGACUCUCUAACAAUUUUGUGGUUCCACUAUUUGAACAUAUGCUCAACAACCUGAAAUUUUUCUAGCUAAUCUUCCUCACCUGGUUACUAUUCCUAUUUAUUAACGAAUCCUUCACUACUUGCUUAUUUAUUGGUAUUGUCUUCAUUCUGCGAUGAAAAAUCCAAUAUUUACUGCGAGAGAGAAUCUCUGACCAAAACACCUGUGAAUGUAAAUGGUAUAACAGUAUUUCUAAGACAUCUUCAAGCAGUUUUGAGAAGUCUUAAAGAGAUGAGGGUAGUAAAAUAUUGUGUCAUUUUUCAGGAAUUCCCAUAUGGAAGUGAUAUAGUAUGGUGUGUCCUGUGUUCUUUUGGGUUGUUGGAACACCAUUGCACUUUGACUUCAUAUAAUGAUUCAACGGAUAAUAUAUACUGCUAUGGAUUCUUGGUUGUGUAUCCUCCACUGAAUCAUUUCAUUAUAGAAUAAACUUCAAUUUUGCAUUGUAAGCUAAUGAAAAUGAAAAAUAAUAUCAUACUGUGCUUACAAUGAUAAAGUGUACCUCUCUGUUGUGCCUAUUUACAGUCAGACAGAAUGACUCAGUGAUGCAGUGUAGAUGACAGAAUACAUAUGUUUUUGAUCUGUUGAACAAGCAGCUCAGCAUUUUAAAUUCUUAUAAAAAGUUCACUUAAGAAGAAAAAUAUCAGAUUUCCAGUAUCUUGACUGAUCUUUUCUUUUGGAUGCAUUACUAUUUGUUUCUUCCUCCCUAUUGUUCAUCCUUUGUUUUCAAAGCUGACCAAGAUUUUACCUUUUAUCACUGCAUGAGACCAUCUUUGUUUCUAUUAUACAAACUUCCUGUUUCAAAGUGAUUUAAAUUAUAACCUUUCAUUAAAAUUUCACAUUAAUUUAUGUUCCAUAUACCAGUUUACUAACAACAAUGUUAUUUUACAGGAUACUUCAUUAUUUUCAAAAUUAAUUGAAACAAAGGCUGUAUCAUUUCAACAGAAAUAGGGUAACACAAGCAUCACAGAAUAUCAACAGUGGAGGACACAGCCACACAGGUGACCAGGGACUCGCGACUGCUCCUAUGCUACCUAUGCUACAUCUUCCAUGCAAUAAAACUACAGAAAUGAGAUAAAUGCUACAUGGAAAAUUGCAGGAAGCACUUGAAAGUUUCCCUAGAAAUGUACCGUUGUUGCAAGUUAUGCACUGAGAUGUCAGUUGCUGGAAAUAGCAUCACCUGCUUGGGUUGAACCAAAGUAUAAGAAAUGGACUUGUUUUGGUGGAAAUGUUGUCAGAAUGUAAUUAUUAUACAGGGAAAUAAAGUUUUUGUUGCAUUAA